UUCUAAACCCGGUAGUAACGAAAAUCCUUUUUAUUGCUUAAAUAACUAUACCGUUUAUCUGCAAUAAAAAGAUUGGAGUGGAUAACGGGACUACAG
rnacentral:sRNA from 1 species